AAUAAAUUAUGUUACCUAUUAUUGAUAAGACUGGUCUCCGUCUAUUUUAUGCAAACAAGAAUCUUACAAAUUCUCAUAAAAUAGAUUAAGGGAAUUCAAUUAAUGAAAACACAUUGGUAUAAUUAAAUUACAGUAACAAUUGGUCCUUCUAGCGGGAUUCCACAAACUUGCCUCUGUCGUCCGAAGGGAAAGCCGAAAGCCGUGCACGGACGAGUCUGGACUCGUUAUUUAAAGACCUGGCCUCUGGAUUAAGGUUUAACAAAACAGGCCGGUAUAAAGAUCUAAGGGCGACAGAGAGGGUGACGGAAUCGAACCAGCAUUGCUUUUCCCAGUCUACAGGACGAAGAUUUUAUGCACUACAGGUGAAUUACAGGUGAAGUCACUCAAUCCAAUCCCUGAGGCCUGUUGGGGGGACCAUACCAAGGACUCCUGGUGACAGCUAGCUGAAAGAGCUACCCGGAUUCAUAUCACACUGCGGGAGGGUAAGACACAAUGACACUGUCGAACAAUAACAGUGUUCGAGAGGAGAACUGGAAUUAACAGAAUUCUGGGGGCCAUCUCUCGAAUUAAGAUUUCCUUUCCCGUCAUUCCAUCCAUGUUUUUGUUCAUAGAAGUGAAAGUGUGUCUGGCUCUUGCUAAUGAUGUGUUCUCUGGAAGAGGGUGGGGCUUUAUGGGUGGGCUGUCCAUCCUGAGUUGUCUGGUUGUGGGAGCCUUAUUCCUGAUACACCAUGAACACAGAGAAGGCCAGAGGGUAAUAUUGACAUAGUUAAACUAUGAGGAUUUAGUAUUAAUAACCAUGCAUAAGAGAUCACUUGAUCUGGAUAAACAGGAAGUGAGAGUGGGAUUGGGAAGGAUGUCUCAGUGGAGUUCUAUGUAGACCAAAUGGGGCCUCUGACUCCUUGGCAGUUCAGGAUUAAGAGCAGCUAUUAUGGAAGACAUCUAUGCAAGUCCCUGUGUAGUUCAUGGGAACAGGUUAUAGCUCACAUCAUGUGAGAGGGCUACAUAAAUCUACAUACCCAGUAUGGAAGAAGAUGGAGUGUAGUGAAAGUAAGGGUUUCAGUUGAUAAUCUAGUGCAUUCUGGGUAGAAACAGUUAGAGCAUAUAAUUGCUCUAUAGUCAGCGGAAUACAAGCAGAAUCCCCCUGACAAAGCAGAUACUGACUGUGGAGUUGUCCAGAGCCAAGAGUCGGUGUGGAUAGUUCAGAUGAAAGAUCUUAAGGAAAGGGAAACUGGUUAUGAGGAUUCUAACCUCUGGUUAGAGUGGAUUCAAUAUACGGCCAGAUCAAUACCUAAAGAAGAUAGCUAUGCUUGUGCCACAGCAAACCUCAGUUGACAACCAUCCCUUUUCCAUUAAAUGGAAUUAAUUCACCUAAGGGAAUGGCCUGUAUGGUAAAGCUAUUCAUUGAAGCAGGAAAGCCAGAUAAUAACAGUUGUAUGGAUUUGAACUAUUUAUAUCCACAUGUUCCUCUGAAAUCUAAGCUUCCUCCUUUCACAGAGGCAAGGGGAGACUGUUUACUGUUUGAUUCGGUAUAGUACUUCUGGGAAAUAUGUGGGGAAAAUCAGUACCUGCAAUAGGACAGAUAAUGUUACUUCCGAUGCAGCAAAUGAGUGAUUUGGCAGGCUGGUUGAGAUCUGGGGAUUUCAGUAAGAUAAGGAGGCCCAGGGCACACAUCUGGUGGUGGUUGUGUGGGGGAAUGACGUUAUGGCUGAGUAUUACUGGCUAAUUGGACAGGGGUAUGUGCACUGGUACAUUUGAGAAUGCCUUUCACACUCAUUCAACACCAUGACAUGAUGUUGACUAAACGGGAGAAAAGAAGUACUCCGUCUGGGUCUUUUGAUGAUAGGGUUUGUAUUAAUAACAUUGUGGUUCCACGGGGGGCCAGAUGAGAUCAAAGCUAUAAAUUAGAUCCUGGCAGGAUUAGAGUCAAGUAUUUUUUGGUGGUCCACUCUCAAUGAGAAUGUGGAUUGGAUCAAUUAUAUCUAUUAAAAAUCCACAGCGCUUCACCAAUUAUAUCAGAGAUGUAAUGAAUGGCUUGGCAGAAUAGAAUAGUCUUGGAUAUGUUUGCUGGCUGAAAAGGGUGGGAGUGUAUGGAGGUAGUUUGGAAGCCGAUGACACAGCUCCGGAUGGAUCAGUGACCAAGGCCUUGGCUGGUUUACACACCCUAGCUCACGAGUUGGCAGUGAACUCAGGGGUGAAUACUUCUUUGACUAAUUGGGUUGACAGUGUGUUUGGAAGAUGGAAAAAUUUUAUGAUUACUGUGUUUAUGGGCUACCUUCACCUAUGUGACUGUGUUAGUUUUGUGUGGAUGUGUUUUGAUUGCGUGUAUGAAAGUUAUCAUUUCCAGGACUCUGGAGAAAUCAAUGACACUUCAGAUGGUGAUAUAUGGACCAAUCCUAAGCUCUGACCAGUGGAAUACAAAAUACAUGGCUCCGGACGUAAUUGAAGAAUCCGGAUCCUUUCACUCGCGAGGAGACCAUAUUUGAUGUUUAGGGAAUUUAGAUGUUUUCUUGUUUCAAUGUAUAGACUGUUUUUUCAUGGAGAUUGUAACGGGAAAUCCUGAUAAGUAGAGUUAAGAUUCUGAUGUAGGUUAGAACAGUCAUUGAAGUUGAUUGUGUGUACAUACAUGUAUUGGUGUUACGGAUACAAGUAUCCUGUGUGUGUAUCCUGUGUGUGUUUCUUUUCUCUCCUUCUCCCCUCACAGGUGAAAAUCAUCACUCCCCAAUCAGACAACAAUCAAUCAUCAAUCAGAAGACACACCUCCUCCUGUUUCCUACCCUAUCACAGUUCCUUUCCCUUGGUUUAAAACCCCCAUCAGUUGUUUGCUCUAGAGCUCAAUCUCUCUGUAAAUGCCAUGUCUGUAGGUCUCACUCUCAGGUUUCACUCUCGCUUUGUGUCUUAACCUCUCUUUUGUUUGAGCACCUCCAAAUCACUUUGUCAACUCCUGUGAGUAUUGUUUUUGGUUAUGGUGUUUGUUUGUUGCUGGUGGGAAAAGGGGGAAACCAAGACAAGUCGCCCAUGGGCAUACACUACCCGUAGGUGAACUUUGUUAAAUACACUAGUUAGAACUGGGCGGACCACCCACUGUAUUUUUGGUUAGUUAGCUGUUGUUAAAGUAGGCUAGUCUAGCUUAGGGGUGUUUUUGUAUAUUUAUUGUUUCUUUCCUUGGGUCCAGCUCAGCCCCUUUUCCUGCUCCCCCCCAUUACCG
ensembl:lncRNA